rnacentral:rRNA from 1 species
GGAAGUAAAAAGUCGUAACAAAGGUUUCCGUAGGUGAACUGCGGAAAGGAUCAUUAACGAGUUUGAAAAUCGAGAGCCUGUUGCUGGUGCGGAAACGCACAUCGUGCACGGCUCCCGUGCUCAAUCCAUUUCAACCCCCUUGUGCACCUUAUCGAAGUCAGUAGUCUUUCUCUUUUUGUUUGCCGGUUGUGUGCGGGAACCUCUUUCUGUUCACUUGGCCGGCGAGGAGAAAUAGAGGGUCGAAAGCUUUGACUUUUCUGUUAAACACUUUGUAUGUCUUGUGGAACGUAUUAGCUCCUUUGUAGGGGCGAAAUAAAUACAACUUUCAACAACGGAUCUCUUGGCUCUCGCAUCGAUGAAGAACGCAGCGAAAUGCGAUAAGUAAUGUGAAUUGCAGAAUUCAGUGAAUCAUCGAAUCUUUGAACGCACCUUGCGCCCCUUGGUAUUCCGAGGGGCAUGCCUGUUUGAGUGUCAUGUUAAUCUCAAACCCCUUGUCUUUUUUGUUGACUUGGUCGGUUUGGACUUGGAGGUGUUGCUGGCGUGCGUCGGCUCCUCUUAAUUGCAUUAGCUGGACUUUGGUUCGCAUUUGACGGUGUAAUAGUAAAGUGUUCGCCGGGCGUGCUUGCCUAACGGGUCUGCUUCUAAUCGUCUUCGGACAACUCUGUUCAUUUUGACCUUUGACCUCAAAUCAGGUAGGACUACCCGCUGAACUUAAGCAUAUCAAUAAGCGGAGGAAAAGAAACUAACAAGGAUUCCCCUAGUAACUGCGAGUGAAGCGGGAAGAGCUCAAAAUUUAAAUCUGGCGGCUUUCGGUCGUCCGAGUUGUAAUCUGGAGAGGCAUUUUCCGCGCUGGACCGUGUACAAGUCUC